rnacentral:lncRNA from 1 species
AAAUAAGGCACUGUUGCCAGGGCCUGAGCCCAGCAGGAAAAGGGUGUGUGCAGAGGGAGGGCCUCGGGUCCUGCUGCUCCUCCUGGACUCCUUCAUCCCAAUCCCUUCACAUCCUUCUCUGACAAGGACUCCCACGUCCCUCCCCGGCUAACCUGGAUCCUGCUCAACCCAACACCUGCCUUCUCUCGGUCCCUGGGUUCCCGCAGGCCUUGGGGCCCCACAGUCAUAUCUGCUGUUCCUGCAGCUUUCUUCCUUGUAUCUGAAGAAGUUGGCACCCUCUACACAGAACAGGAGGCCCACAGUUCCAGCAGUUAUUGUAUACAUCACUGACCACGUUAAUGACUCCACAAAAUCAAUCCUGGGCCCACCAAAUAUUCUGUUGAAGAUUAAAUUAU